ACCCAAUAGAUACCCUGGUAGUCCACGCCGUAAAACGAUGGUGACUAGGUGCGGCUGGCUCAAAGGGCUGGUCGUGCCGAAAAGCUAACGCGAUAAGUCACCCGCCUGGGGAGUACGGCCGCAAGGCUAAAAACUCAAAGGAAUUGACGGGGGGCCCGCACAAGCAGCGGAGCGUGCGGUUUUAAUUCGAUGCAACGCGAAGAACCUUACCUGGGUCUUGACAUGGCGGUGGUAGGGAGGUGAAAGCCGAACGACCCGCAAGGGAGCCGUCACAGGUGCUGCAUGGCUGUCGUCAGCUCGUGUCGUGAGAUGUUGGGUUAACGUCCCGCAACGAGCGCAACCCUUGUCGCAUGUUUCAGGUGUCAUGCGAGACUGCCCGU
rnacentral:rRNA from 1 species